rnacentral:lncRNA from 1 species
AAGAAGGUUCUUCAAGCCAAGAAGGACAAGAUUUUUGUUUAUUUUUACUAUUUGAAUUUUGUAGAUCUGGAUCCCAAAAAAUAUUUGAUUUUUUUAAAUUGUUCAGAUCUGAAUCUUGAAGCAUUGUUUCUUUUCAGAUAUGAUAUUGCAUCACAAGGUUCCUUGUUCUCAAUUUGUUUUUGACCAAGCACAGAGGUGUAUUGCAAAAAUGAUCUUACUAGCUGGUCCAAGUGUUGCGAUUUCGACCAUUUUUCUUGGAGUUGUUU